AUCCAACUGACGAGUCUCAAACUAAACGAAACUCACGUUCUGGAU
rfam:Schistosoma mattheei strain Denwood, Zambia genome assembly, scaffold: SMTD_scaffold0012141